rnacentral:rRNA from 1 species
UACGUAGGGAGCAAGCGUUGUCCGGAAUCAUUGGGCGUAAAGCGCGCGUAGGUGGCUUCGUAAGUCCGCUGUGAAAGUCAAAGGCUCAACCUUUGAAAGCCGGUGGAUACUGUGAAGCUAGAGUACGGAAGAGGCGAGCUGGAAUUCCUGGUGUAGCGGUGGAAUGCGCAGAUAUCAGGAGGAACACCAAUAGCGAAGGCAGCUCGCUGGGACGUUACUGAC